GUAGGGAAUAUUGGUCAAUGGGCGAAAGCCUGAACCAGCAACGCCGCGUGCACGAUGAAGGCCUUCGGGUCGUAAAGUGCUUUUCGGGGAGACGAGGAAGGACGGUAUCCCCGGAAUAAGGAUCGGCUAACUACGUGCCAGCAGCCGCGGUAAAACGUAGGAUCCGAGCGUUAUCCGAAUUCACUGGGCGUAAAGCGCGUGUAGGCGGUUCGGUAAGUUGGAUGUGAAAUCUCCUGGCUCAACUGGGAGGGGACGUUCAAUACUGUCGGACUAGAGGACGGCAGAGGAAGGUGGAAUUCCCGGUGUAGUGGUGAAAUGCGUAGAUAUCGGGAGGAACACCAGUGGCGAAGGCGGCCUUCUGGGCCGUUUCUGACGCUCAGACGCGAAAGCUAGGGGAGCAAACGGGAUUAGAAACCCGAGUAGUCC
rnacentral:rRNA from 1 species